GAUUCUGUUUUCCACAAAUGAUUUGAAGCAUCCUUGUGUCUCGUUAUAGCAACAGAAGAUGGAUUGUCACAGGAACCAGUGCCCGAGAUGAUCACAACUGUCCAUCACGUGACUGCAAGAUCACCUGUUCUACUCAGGAUUGCCACAGUCAAGUUACAAGACAGCCAGUAAAGUCUGAACACGGGAUUUAGGAUACAUGCUAAGAUAAAGCCACUGCCAAUUGGAAAUCUAAAUUGAACUGGAGCAUUCUGUAUUUAAAUCAGAGUUAGUGUCGUGUCCUGGAGAGGCAGCGCCUUGGCCAAGCAGACUGGAAAUGCCGGAAGCCAUCUGGAGGCGCAUGCUGAGUCACAGGGUCCAGAGAAAAACAAGAACUUGGUGACGCCCAAGGAAGGGGGUGGGGAGAACUCUCCCUGGAGAUCUCAGCGGGGCAUCGGAAAUAGAAACAGCUCGCUUUGAAGUAUCCACAAUGACCAGAGCUAAGCUAAUUCGAAGCCAGGACUCAGGAGCUUCUUCCAAGUCCCCUACAUAGGAGGUUUCUGUCUGUUCAAGGUCACCUGAAGCAUUUCCUGGCAUUUUCCAUGUCUGUCGCUAAUUCAUUUUGGGAGCCGCUGUUUCCAUUUCAGCCUUGACAUUUGCUUAAUGACAUGAAUGGAGCCUGUUCUGGGAUGCUUGCUGCCAUAAUUGGAAAGCCAAUACCAUCUGCCACAAAUAGAAGCUAUCCAUAAAAAGAAAUACUGUGAAAAUAAAAGAAUAUUACUGAAUUCUAGAAGAGUAGGGUUGCCAUGGAAGACUCUGAGUUUGAGGUCUAUCUCAUUUCCAUUUUAAGGAGAGAUGGGGCUGGGCAUUUGGCCCAGCCAGCAGUUAAGGUACCAUUAGGAUGCCUCUGUCCCACAUAUAAGUACCUGAGCUCCUAUGCCCAGCUCUGGCUGCUAGUUCCAGCUUCCUGCUAAGGCAAACCUUACCAGGCAGAACACAAUGGCUCAAGUGCUUCAGUUCCUGCUACCCAUGUGGGAGACCUGAAUUGAGUUCCUGGUUCUUCAUUUGACACAGCCCUGCCCUGGCCAUUACAGCCUUCUGGGGAAUGA